AAAGCGGUUUUUUUGAAAACCACCAUUAAAAAGUAAUGGCAUGGAU
rfam:Capsicum annuum cultivar Zunla-1 unplaced genomic scaffold scaffold174, whole genome shotgun sequence